AGAGAGGUGUCCGAGAGGUUUAAGGUGCAAUCUUGGAAAGGUUGUGUGGGGGUAACACUCCACCGUGGGUUCGAAUCCCAUCCUCUCUG
rnacentral:tRNA from 3 species